rnacentral:rRNA from 1 species
UGCCAGCCGCCGCGGUAAUACGAAGGGACCUAGCGUAGUCCGGAAUUACUGGGCUUAAAGAGUUCGUAGGUGGAUUGGAAAGUCGGAUGUGAAAUCUCACAGCUUAACUGUGGAACUGCAUUCGAAACUUCCAGACUAGAGUGUGAGAGGGGUGAAGGGAAUUCCCAGUGUAAGGGUGAAAUCUGCAGAGAUUGGGAAGAACACCGGUCGCGAAGGCGCUUCACUGGCUCACUACUGACGCUGAGGGACGAAAGCUAGGGUAGCCAACGGGAUUAGAUA